ensembl:ncRNA F25H10.10 ncRNA
UUCAAUUGUUUGUCACCAAUUGAAACCAAUAUGAAGCCUGUUGACAUUUUGCUCAAGAAUUCUUCACCGAGACCAAUUGAGAACACAAU